rnacentral:rRNA from 1 species
GAUGAACGCUGGCGGCGUGCCUAAUACAUGCAAGUCGAGCGAACAGGCGAGGAGCUUGCUCCUCUGACGUUAGCGGCGGACGGGUGAGUAACACGUGGAUAACCUACCUAUAAGACUGGGGUAACUUCGGGAAACCGGAGCUAAUACCGGAUAAUAUAUUGAACCGCAUGGUUCAAUAGUGAAAGGCGGUUUUGCUGUCACUUAUAGAUGGAUCCGCGCCGCAUUAGCUAGUUGGUAAGGUAACGGCUUACCAAGGCAACGAUGCGUAGCCGACCUGAGAGGGUGAUCGGCCACACUGGAACUGAGACACGGUCCAGACUCCUACGGGAGGCAGCAGUAGGGAAUCUUCCGCAAUGGGCGAAAGCCUGACGGAGCAACGCCGCGUGAGUGAUGAAGGUCUUCGGAUCGUAAAACUCUGUUAUUAGGGAAGAACAAAUGUGUAAGUAACUAUGCACGUCUUGACGGUACCUAAUCAGAAAGCCACGGCUAACUACGUG